GCGGCUGUCAUAUAACGGCAUUAUCUCAGCCUUCCAAGCUGAAGACGCGGGUUCGACUCCCGUCGGCCGCU
rnacentral:tRNA from 1 species